UCUCAUUUUUCCUGGACGAUUUCCCUGGUCAGAAAUAACCUGGGGGCAGCAUGAAUGGCGGUCCUCAGUGCAGUUCAUGACUGCUGUGCACGGAUGGAGCACAUAUUCAAGGACGAAUCUGAGGUUCCUGUUCUGGGAAUUUGGCUUCACAGUACAGCACUUGCCCUGCAUGUAGUCAGAGGUGAUUGACUGUCAACACGACCAGAAAUGCGGCCAGAAACUCUAGGUGCAGCACUUCCUAAGCAUGAUCUAUUCCAGUGACUACCAUUUCCCCUGAGGGGAUAAAAUCAAGCUGAGCCAACAAGAAAUGCACACAGGAGACAACUGUGGGUCCUGAGCAACUGCGCAGCUGUGGAAUUCAGAAUGGAGAUCCCAAGAUUCCACGAGAAAGCUCCUGGAGCAGCGUGCCUUUCAGUAGUUAAGGGCGUGGGGCUCUGGAUUUAUUUCCAUUUUUUUCUUCCCCCAGGAACUAGUCAUUAAUAUUUGCAUGAAAAAAAAAACAGAGCAAAGGAGCAAUAAUUCAUGUUGAAGAUAGGUCUUAUAUUCUGUAUGUGUGAAGGAAAUAAAUUUUCAGUACAAUAAAAUAAAGCAAACAAAAC